ensembl:lncRNA
GAUGAAUGAGAAUGCCAAUGGAUCCCUCUCACCAAUUAUCCCUGAAAACCCUGAAUUCAAAGGGAGAUGACUCUUGUUCAGCAUUUGAAGAGGUUUGAGACUCUACCUGAUUCACCUCAGUUUAAUGUGAUUUUUGAAACAUAUUUUGACCAGUGCUGCACCCGGUGACCUCAAGAGGCCUCGACAGACAGGCAGACAGACACGCGAUCUGUGCCAUGUUUCAGGGUCGCAACCUCGCUGUGGCAACCACACCUGGAAGUCUUCAUUCAGCGGCCUCUCACUGCGCUGGCCAUUUACAUAUGCAACGUUUCAGCAGUGUCUCACACACAACAUGCACUACAGCUACACAGACUAUCAGAAUACAAAUGCCACUCAGGGCAUGAAGAGGGCAGGAGGAGGCAUGUGGGUAAACUGUUAAUUUGCUCUCUGGGGUGGACAGAGUGGAAUAACAAUGCAGUUAGAAGAACCAUAUUCAUAUACAGUGUGUGCGUAUGUAUAAUGUUUCAUCAAAUGGAAGACUAACAAGUUACUGCAACUGAAAGCCCAACAUGUGUUAAAAAAAUAACUUACAUUUUAAUUACUAUUAUUAAUUGCAUAUUAUUGUUGUUGUUCAAUAAGGUUACACUUCAUUUUAAGGUGACAGAUACAGUAUAUUUAUGUACAAAUACCAUUCAUAUAGUACUUAAUAACGACAUGUAUGGUGGGGAUUUGGUUUAAGGUUAGUUGCUUGUAUUUAUGCAUAAUUUACUGUUAUUACUGUAGUAAGUACAUGUAACAUGUAUAACAAGGACACUGUAAAAUAAAAUGUUAGCAUAAAUAAUUGCUCAAUAAAUACUGUGAGAGGAAGUAAAUGUCAUUUCCUUCUCUGUUAUUACUCUCUUCCCCUAUAUAAUAGUUAUCUAUAAAUAGUUCCUUUUUUGUCAAUCAAUUAAAAGUCUAUGUAAUCAACCUUUUCAAGCUUCAAAAAGUACAUAAAGACAUUGUAAAAGUAAUCCAUAUGAAUCAAGGGGUUUAAUCCAAGUCUACUGAAGAGACACAACUUAAUAUACAAUUUUUAUUUACUUUUAUUCUUUCCCUUAUUUUUUCCCCCUUUUUUCCCCUUAAAAUCUAAUCAGUUCACUGUUAAAUUUUGGUAGGUCUUAUUGCCGGUUUUGACAAUCACAAGAACUUUGUUUUGUACCUUGAAGGUAUAUGGUCUCCAGCAGUGACUGUGGUGUACCGCAGGGUUCUGUCUUCGGCCAUAUUUUAUUUUCUCAAUUAUAUGUCUGUUGGGUUCUUGUUUUUCCCUAAAAUGUAUAUAUAUAAAUUCAUGGGUUUGAGAGUGAUUUGUGAGAAAAAAAAAGAAGAAAAAAGAAAAGACAAAAAACAGCUAAUGAAUGAAUGUAAAGUGGGACAAAUGUUAUGCAGGAGAAAACAGUGUUAGUCACAGAAUUCUCCGGGCCUGGAGAUGAAAUGCUGACUCUCAGCUCACAUCUCGGUGAGGUCACCCCAUUGGUAUCGCAAGCACAGCAGUCACGUUGUGGCACAAUGCAGACAGAUUGCUUAUAAUAACCGUUAGAGACCUUUCAUUUUUCAUUGUCAGCAAUUUGCCGGAUAAUUUUGGCACCAUUUAAGGAGACAACCUUCCUAUUAAGAAGAUAAAAAUAAACAAACUAGUUGUGAAAGCUCUAUAUCAGGAUGAGCUAAUCCUAUUUACAGAUCUCUGGCGUCGAUACGGAACCAUGCGGACAUGCUUACAUGUGACAAUUUUUGCUAUUUUUAAAAGAAAGCUACACUUAACGCCAAAAGGUUUCUAGUCCCAGAGCACCUAAGGGGAUAAAACGUCACAAUUAAAAUCAUAUUACAAAGCCUGUAUAAGAAGAAACACUCUGGCCAUUUAAUAUAGAUGCACAGUAUAGAUGGCUUAAAGCUCAAUUUCUCUCUCUCUCUCUCUCUCUCUCUCUCUCUCUCUCUAUAUAUAUAUAUAUUGCUAUCACUGAUCAAUACUUUUACCAAGAAAUUAAAUAAAAUGCUCCUAGGCUCUUAACAUUUUUACAGCAGAUCUCAACAUCAGCAGUAACACUGAACCUGAAAAUGUGGAGGCCACAGUAUAACAAGACAAAACAAUGGCAAAAUUCAGUGGAUGAAUGAUGAACUUAUAUUGAAAUGAACAUAUUGAAUAUAUUCAACGAAAUAUCAGUAUUUUAACAUCACUUGAUGAACAAAGAAAGCAUCCCAGAAAAAGCAAGUCUUGUUUGUAAUCACCUCUGAUAAAAGACUAAUGAGGAAUUAAAUACAAUAAACAAAUCAUCACCCUUUUAAUGUCAUGCAAAAGUCAAUAUCAGCCAGCAAUUAAUUUUUGUGUCUAGUUUGAGCAGCUAGUCGAGAUGUGUUUCAUACAGACUCUCUCCCUAAACCAAAAUGAAAUAAAAUCAAUGACAUUUUUAUAUAUAUAUAGGGUUACUCUCUAUCUUACUCUCUCAUUCUUUUUAUGUAUCUAAUAUUUCUAAUUUAC